rnacentral:rRNA from 1 species
GACCGAUACCGUGAAGAAAAGUUGAAAAGUACUUUGAAGAGUUAACGAGUACGUGAAACCGUUCAGAGGUAAACCUAAGAAACCCAAAAAAUCGAACGGGGAGAUUCAUCGUCAACGAAACUGGCUUCGCGUCGGUGGGCGAUAACCCCGCGGUGUGUCCUAAGCGGCACGCGCGUGCGGGCACGCUACCGAACGCCGAUGUCCGGUUUUCGUCGUCGUGCACUUCUCCCCUAGUAGAACGUCGCGACUCGCUGUGUGUCGGUCACCGANCCGGGUGCGGUUACUGUCACGUCGCCCGUAAAAACGGCGCGCGGCAAACACCCCC